AAGGUCUUUGCAUUUCACUAGAUUGCAUCCUCUUUUCCAUAGGAAGGCACUUGAGUAUAUAUUACAGAACUGACAUGGGUUUGAAAGCUGCGUAUGGGCCCAUUAAUUUUUGGUAGACACCUAUUUCUUGCUCCUAGAAUCAUAGUUGUUGCUUGAUGUUUCUUCUUGGCCCAUUGCUCCUUCUCUAGUUUUCUAUUAACCACUUAAUUUAAUAAACCUUCAUCUGUACUGACAAUAAAUGUGUUAAUAUUCCUCCAUAUCACAAUAAGUGGCCUUUCAUGGUGUGGCUAGUAGCCAUGUCUCUGAUACACUAGAGUUCUAUCUCUUGGUGCAGAUAUGAAAGGUGUUGCUUCCCAUGAGGUCUUUCUCACAGAGGGCCAAGAGGUUCCCGAAGUGCCUAGACAGGUACUUCUUGUCAUUUAGCAGACUGUUUGUCUACAGUCUGAAAGUGGCCCAAAUUUUCAUAGAAAUUGGAAACUCAGGGGGUAUCAAAAGGCCAAAGUUUCUUGCUUAAAAGGUUUUCUGGUCCCAGGUUUUAUUUGCUAUUAUAAGAAUCAGCCUUCAUAGCAUUGUUAAUAUGAAUGUCUACAGACAUGGUAUUUUUCCUGAUUUAUUGCUUGACAUUUAGUUCUUCAAUCUUAAUGUCUAGAUUUUUUUUUCUUUUUUCAAUUCCAUCUUUAGCUUUGUCAACAAUGGGAUUCAAAUGAUGAAAUUUAAUUAUUUGAGAUAUACAGUGAGUCCAUGUGAUUCCACUAUAAAAAAGAACAGAAAAAAAAAAAAAAAAGAAGAAAAGAAUGGGCUGAGAAGAUGGCCUGGUGGGUAAGGACUUGUCAGGCAAGUGUGAAGAUCUGAAUUCAACUCUCCAGCAUCUACGUAGAGCUCAGUGUAGAGCAUGGGUCUGUAAUUCCAGGGUUCUUAAAGUGAGAUGGGCGGUAGAGUUGGGGGGGGGUCCUCAGAAGCUUGGGGGCCAGCCUGGUCUGUGCGAUAACAUAGAACAAAGACUCUAUCUCAUACAGGGAGGAAGUUGAGGACCAACACCCAAGGAUGUCCUGUGACCCCCAUGGAUGUGUGGUGGAAUGCA
rnacentral:lncRNA from 1 species